CAGAUGAUUCUAAAGCACAGCAAAGUUGAGACACUAAAUGCUGGGCGUGGGUACGAGCAAUGCUGCCAUCAUUUCAAUUGCGGGCUGGGCCAAAUCUUUGUGCUCAGCAAAGACCUUUUCACCAGGGGCGUGAAUAGAGAAAACCCAGUGGCUGGACUGAGGAGCAGUCAUGAGACGGAAGCCACGGCAGAUGGAAGCUGGACAUUGCUUUGAUCAGAUGCUCAAGUGACAGGGGACGAGAGCUACCACCUCCAACUUUCCACAAGCUCUUGCUUGCAGUGCCCAUGUCAGGGCUGAGAUGCUUGCUUAAGGGCAAAGCACUCGCUCCUUCCCUUGAAGCGUGACAUAAGCUGUUCUCGAAUGUGGUUUGUCAAGUCGAGUAAGCUCACCUCCAGUCCUUAUCCCCUGGAGAUUUCCUCCAGGAAAAGAUGCAAAAGAUGCCGAGAACCCAGUGAGUGCCUUCUGCAGCCCAGAGAGAACUCUUUCAGAAGAAGAAACAUCUGUUUUCUACUUUAGUUGUUUGUUUGCUGUGUUACAAAGAUUGAACCCAGGACCUCAAGUAUGCUAGGCGAGAGUUCUGCCACUAUGCUAUGACACCUGGAUCUCCCCCAUGGGACAUACUUAGCCAUUUAGAAUGCUUCAAGACCCAUGGAGACAGCCUGGGCUAGCCCUUGCACAACUCCCAUUUGAGUGGUAAUUUGCUUUUGUUAAGAUUUCAGAAAUGAACCCCACUGGGAAUUUUCUCCUCUUCUCAAUGCAAUCUCCAUGAUGGCUCAGAGUCAAAGCCCUGUAUCCUCCAUGAGAAAUGAUUGUAGUUUUGUUGGGAUGACCUCUGGAAGCCCUCUGGUCUGCUACAAAGCUGUGCAAAAUCUGGAAAGGGUGCUGAUGUGAGAGUAAAUGGCUAGAGGAGACAUCUGUAUUGCUGAGGCAAGAUAGCCUGCCCUGUGUGUCUGUAGCUAGAAGCAUUCUUCUACCAAGCCCUCUAGGCUCCCACCCCCAUAUCCUUGAACUUGCUGGCCAGCCCUUCUCCAGUCUUGAAUUUCUUCUGCAAACCAACUCCUGGAUAUUAGUUCUUCUGCUCAAAAGUGUGCUUCAAAUGUCCCUGGUGUUCUGUUACUCCAGCCAACAAAAGCAGGUGGUCUCUUUCUCUAGAAGGUUUUUUUUCCAUAGAACUCAGAUUUACCCAACAUUUAGAAUCCUCCAUUUUUCCUGCCAAUGUCUAAACAGUGUCUGUGUGGUGUGACACUCUAAAUUAACAGUCUGCGAUAUGAGUGGAAGUGAAUUUUCCAGGACAAUUGUGAUUUCAUUCUUUAUUCUUUGAUUUUCUUGAAACAGGGUCAUGCUGUAUAGCCCAAGCUGGCCUUGAACUCAGGUUUCUCCUGAGUCCAAUUAUAAAAACAUCAAAUCCCCUUGUUAAUAAACUCCCAGACCUAGUGUGCAUUAGUGACUGACAUUGAAGUCAAAAUGAGAACUUUAUUGAAAAAGAUGCUGUGGGAAUAUUUUCAAUGUAUUGAACUAUGUAUUAGCCAUGAGCAAUGCCUGCACAUACUAGCCGUGUACAAUGCCUGUACAUAGCCAUGUGUGAUGCCUCUAAUCUCACUCUGAAAAGCUGAGACAGGAGGAUUAUGAAUGAUACCCUGUGUUCAAAGCAACCAGAAAAAGAAAAAAAAUUAUGAAGCGAUCAUGCAACUCUCACUAAAUAUGUUGAAUACUAAUCUCUAAGAAGCAGCUGUGGACCUUGCAUGAGUGACAUCUGAUACAGCUAGAGGGAGGAGCCUCCCUGAGGUGAUACAGUGUCUGGUGUUCGUGGUCUACAAGUAGUAAAUAUGAAGAAAUGAAA
rnacentral:lncRNA from 1 species